rnacentral:rRNA from 1 species
AUUGAACGCUGGCGGCAGGCCUAACACAUGCAAGUCGAGCGCGCGGCGGACGGGUGAGUAAUGUAUGGGGAUCUGCCCGAUAGAGGGGGAUAACUACUGGACACGGUGGCUAAUACCGCAUACUAUCGGAUGCCCCCAUAGGGGAUUAGCGUGUAGGUUGGGUAAAGGCACACCUAGGCGACGAUCUCUAGCUGUUCUGAGAGGAUGAUCAGCCACACUGGUACUGAGACACGGCCCAGACUCCUACGGGAGGCAGCAGUGGGGAAUAUUGCACAAUGGGCGCAAGCCUGAUGCAGCCAUGCCGCGUGUAUGAAGAAGGCCUUAGGGUUGUAAAGUACUUUCAGCGGGGAGGCGUUACCCGAAGAAGAAGCACCGGCUAACUCCGUGCCAGCAGCCGCGGUAAUAC